AAGUAACAGGCUGAACUACAAUAGAGCUGUUUUGAGCAGUUUGUUAACAGUGUUUUCAGUUAGAGAUGUUAUGUCCCUUUGGCGGGGACUUUGGGCUUUUCACUUUGUAAACAUAAAGUGCACAAAAAAGAUAGAUAACACUAUAAAGGAAAGUGGAAAAAGCCAAAAAGCAUAAUAUGAGCACUUUAA